AGCGUAGGCGGAAUCGUAAGUUAGGAGUUUAAUACGUAGGCUUAACCUGCGGCUUGCUCUUAAGACUGCAAUUCUUGAGUAUGGGAGAGGGUGAUGGAAUUCCAGGUGUAGCGGUGGAAUGCGUAGAUAUCUGGAAGAACACCAGUAGCGAAGGCGGUCACCUGGCCCAAUACUGACGCUGAGGCUCGAAAGCUAGGGGAGCAAACAGGAUUAGAUACCCUGGUAGUCCUAGCCGUAAACGAUGGACACUAGUUGCCGGAGGAGUCAAUCUUUUCGGUGACGAAGCUAACGCAUUAAGUGUCCCGCCUGGGGAGUACGCUCGCAAGGGUGAA
rnacentral:rRNA from 1 species